CACCGCCCGUCACAUCACGAAAGUGGGUUGUACUAGAAGUCCGCGUGCUAACCGCAAGGAGGCAGCGGCCCAAGGUAUGACUCAUGAUUGGGGUG
rnacentral:rRNA from 1 species